rnacentral:lncRNA from 1 species
AGGAAAACCUGCCAGAUGGCUGAGGAGCUGACAAAUAAAGGAAAGUCCCAUGAUUUGGAAAAAGGGACAUCUAAAACUUACCCCUUGAGCAGAGCUACCUUUUGGAGACAGUAUCAGGUCCCUCCUUUCAUGGGGGCUCCACUGGUAGAGGGAUCUGCCUGACAAUAUUAACACCAUGGCUUUGCGGUGGAGACAGCCUAGUCCAGAGUCACAUCUAACCAAAUUAUUUCUUAGUGUUCUGGCCAUUCUCACUUUGGAGUACUCAGGACUCUGGAUCAAGGCUAAAUGGUGGUGGGAAAGGUGGCCUGCUCCAGAAGCAGUGGUGGGAGUCACUGCACCCGAGUACCUGCCUGUGCUGGCUGCUGCUCCACACGCUCCAGGGGUCCUUCAGAGAACUUGCAUUGAAGGUAAAACUGAAGGAGCUGCACACCAAUCCUCUGCCACUGCACUGUGCACCUCUGUAUGUCACAAGUACACCAGGAAGAGCCAUCUCUCCAGAGUAAUUUUUGUCCACCUUGGCCUUCUCCUAUCAAAUAGUGGGUGCUGAUUCUUCUAACCAAGUCAUCAUGGAGCAAUCAAUCUUUUUAAUGGGGCACUGAACAGAACAGCAUAACCUGCAGAAUGCACAGUGCAGAAUCACCAUCUCCAGGGCUACAUGCAUGUGGACAUUUUGGACUGUCUCUUUUUUCCCCCUGAAAUUUCUUCUCCUGGAACAUGCCCUGUGCAGAUUCAACAUUCUGAUUAUUUAUAUGUUGUCUUGCAUUGAAAUCCCUUUUCAAGAAACACCCCCCAAAGGCACUUCAACAGCCCAGAAAUUCAUGAGUGAUUGGCUGAAGCUCUGAGCAACAAGACAACAGCUUGUGGCAUAUCACAAGAAUGUUUUCCAUCUUUUGAUUACGUUAUUUAUUUUCUAAGUAUUGAUUUAUAAUGUUUACUACAUGGACCAUAUAAACACAAUAAAACCUGCCAUCUUUUAGCA